rnacentral:tRNA from 1 species
CUGGGUGUGGCUCAACCUGGUCAGAGCGCCGGUUCGGGGAACCGGAGAUUGGGGGUUCGAAUCCCUCCACCCAGA